CCUACGGGGGGCAGCAGUGAGGAAUAUUGGUCAAUGGGCGGAAGCCUGAACCAGCCAAGCCGCGUGAGGGAAGAAGGUACAGCGUAUCGUAAACCUCUUUUGUCAGGGAACAAAGGCGGGGACUAGUCCCCGGAUGAGGGUACCUGAAGAAAAAGCAUCGGCUAACUCCGUGCCAGCAGCCGCGGUAAUACGGAGGAUGCGAGCGUUAUCCGGAUUUAUUGGGUUUAAAGGGUGCGCAGGGGGCCUGUUAAGUCAGCGGUAAAAGCCCGGGGCUCAACCCCGGCGAGCCGUUGAAACUGGCGGGCUUGAGUUGGAGAGAAGUACGCGGAAUGCGCGGUGUAGCGGUGACAUGCUUAGAUAUCGCGCAGAACCCCGAUUGCGAAGGCAGCGUACCGGCUCCACACUGACGCUGAGGCACGAAAGCGUGGGUAUCGAACAGGAUUAGAUACCCCGGUAGUC
rnacentral:rRNA from 1 species